AAAAGCAGCUAUAUCACCCUGAAACUCAUACCUGACAGCCCACUGAAGCCGAGUAGGUGUGAGCCUGGUCAGUACCUGGAUGGGAGACUUCUUGGGAAAGCUAAGGUUGCUGCUGGAA
rnacentral:rRNA from 1 species